rnacentral:rRNA from 1 species
GAUUUUAGGUCUGACCUGCCCAAUGGAUUAAUUAAAUGGCCGCGGUACAUUGACCGUGCAAAGGUAGCAUAGUCAUUAGUUUUUUAAUUGAGAGCUUGUAUGAAAGGUUUGAUGAGAAAAGGACUGUCUCUAGGGAAAUUUAUUAGAAUUUUAUUUUUAAGUGAAAAAGCUUAAAUUUUUAUGGAAGACGAGAAGACCCUGUAGAGUUUAAUAAGUGAAUAAUUGUUUAAGGUUAAGGACUGGAGAAUUUAAACUAUGUUUUUAUUUAUUUUAUUGGGGUGAUAGGAAAAUUGGUUAAACUUUUCUUCGUAAAAAAUAUUGAUGUAUAGAUAUAUGAUCCUUUGUGUAGAUUAGAAGAAUAAAUUACCUCAGGGAUAACAGCGUAAUUUUUUUUAGAGUUCUUAUCGAAAAAAUAGAUUGCGACCUCGAUGUUGGAUUAAAAUUAAUUAUUGGGUGAAGAAGCUAAUAAGAUAGGUCUGUUCGACCUUUGAAAUUUUACAUGAUCUGAGUUUAAACCGGCGUGAGC